CCAGCCACUCAUGUCUCAUUCCCAUUUUGACAGUGGAUCGUGAUAGACUACUGCAAGUGAAAUCAAUGAAUUUAUAAACGGACUUAUUUAGUGAGUGAACUAUUAUAAGAUGACACAUAGAAUGAUUCUGGUGCUCUGCUUGUUAUUAGCAUUUAAUGUCGUAUUGACGUACGUUUUACCGCCAAAAAGCUACCACAGAGAAGAUAUUGAUGAAAAUAAAUUGAACCAAUCUGCGAUACGUCAUUCACAAGACUAUAUUAAAUACAACUAUCUUAUAACAACGUACUUAUAGUGCCAAUUGAAUAGUAAAUAGUUUACUGUUUAUGUAAGUAAUAAGUUUUAGGUUAGAAUCUCAGCUUGUAAUACAUUAUACACCUCGACAAGAAUUUAUAAUAGAGCUCUACCUAUAUAUUUUUUAAAUGAUUUCUAAUAUUUUAAUAAAAAGUUUUGAUGUA